rnacentral:rRNA from 1 species
CCUACGGGUGGCAGCAGUGAGGAAUAUUGGUCAAUGGGCGCGAGCCUGAACCAGCCAAGUAGCGUGAAGGAUGACUGCCCUACGGGUUGUAAACUUCUUUUAUAAAGGAAUAAAGUGAGGCACGUGUGCCUUUUUGUAUGUACUUUAUGAAUAAGGAUCGGCUAACUCCGUGCCAGCAGCCGCGGUAAUACGGAGGAUCCGAGCGUUAUCCGGAUUUAUUGGGUUUAAAGGGAGCGUAGAUGGGUUGUUAAGUCAGUUGUGAAAGUUUGCGGCUCAACCGUAAAAUUGCAAUUGAUACUGGCAGUCUUGAGUACAGUAGGGGGAGGCAGAAUUCGUGGUGUAGCGGUGAAAUGCUGAGAUAUGACGAAGAACACCGAUUGCGAAGGCAGCUUACUAAACUGCCACUGACAUUGAUGCGCGAAAGUGUGGGGAUCAAACAGGAUUAGAUACCCUUGUAGUC